CAAGGCAGGACUGGACUCUGAGAAGAUCUCCACUCAGCUGCUCUGUCUGUAAGGAGAAGAAUCCGGAAGAAAGGUCGGCAGCUCCAUGAACUGCCAGUCCCACUCCUGUGGUUCAUACCCACAGCUGUAACCUAUCUAGUUUUAUUUUUCUCAGAUCUCACGAGAUACCAAGCCAAUUCUGAGAAGUACUCCAGUGUGUGUAAAAGAUAAUGCUGAAUGGAGUCUUUUCGAUGAGCGAGUCCGUAUCUGCCAGUUCCUGGGCCACAGGGUGCUUUUUCUCAAGCAGACUAGUUCCAGGGUUUCACACCUACACAGUUCAGAAUGUCUACAUGAGGAUAAUGAUAAAUGCUGGAAACGCUGGCAAUGACUUUGAGACAUUGUAAAGAUGUCUUGAAAAGGAAACAGCUGAAUAAUUCAUUUUCUAAUAAUGAACUGUGGAGCAACUUGAAAUCUAAGACCAAGGAGAGAAAUCACAGUUCCCAAAGGAAAGGAAAAGGCUUGCAGGCUAUACCAGGGCUUAAUUAAUCAUGGCAGAGACGGUAUGAUGGAAGAGCAUGCAUCACACUAUGGAAGGUCAUGAUUCAGAGAGCAUGACAAGAAAUCCUAAGAGAAAAUAAACUGCUGCAUUAAUCACUGGACGCAUUGCUGAGACAAGAGCAUCUUAAGGAAGGGAUGGGUUUUGUUGUUGUUGUUGUUGUUUGGCUCACGGUUUAAGGGUGCAACCCACAUGUCACAAAAGUGCUGUGUCAUGAUGGUCUGGCCUCUGCUUCUGUGAGGUCCAUACCCAGUGACUCAGGCAAUAGAAGAAAUUGGGAGAAAAAAACAAAUAAACGUGUGUUGUACCUGAAGCUGCAAGGCCUUCAUUUCACAUCAAUACAUCUUAACAGCCAAAGGAGAAAUGGCGGGGCUUGGAAUGGGGUAGAGGAAGCUGAAAUUAAUGUUUCACACCGAACUGUCCUACAAAGAAAGAAGGAAAGAAAGAAAAAACAACAACAAAAGAAGAUAGAAAAAGAAAGAAAAAAGGA
rnacentral:lncRNA from 1 species